AGUGAACGCUGGCAGUAGGCCUAACACAUGCAAGUCGAGCGGCAGCACAGUAAGAGCUUGCUCUUACGGGUGGCGAGUGGCGGACGGGUGAGGAAUACAUCGGAAUCUACUUUUUCGUGGGGGAUAACGUAGGGAAACUUACGCUAAUACCGCAUACGACCUACGGGUGAAAGCAGGGGAUCUUCGGACCUUGCGCGAUUGAAUGAGCCGAUGUCGGACUAGCUAGUUGGCGGGGUAAAGGCCCACCAAGGCGACGAUCCGUAGCUGGUCUGAGAGGAUGAUCAGCCACACUGGAACUGAGACACGGUCCAGACUCCUACGGGAGGCAGCAGUGGGGAAUAUUGGACAAUGGGCGCAAGCCUGAUCCAGCCAUACCGCGUGGGUGAAGAAGGCCUUCGGGUUGUAAAGCCCUUUUGUUGGGAAAGAAAAGCAGCAGGUUAAUACCCCGCUGUUCUGACGGUACCCAAAGAAUAAGCACCGGCUAACUUCGUG
rnacentral:rRNA from 1 species